UACGGAACAACAGUUGGAAACGACUGCUAAUACCGUAUACGCCCUUACUACUUGUAGCCUCGCACCGAUAGAUGAGCCUGCGUUAGAUUAGCUAGUUGGUGAGGUAAUGGCUCACCAAGGCGACGAUCUAUAGCUGGUCUGAGAGGAUGAUCAGCCACACUGGGACUGAGACACGUCCCAGACUCCUACGGGAGGCAGCAGUGGGGAAUAUUGGACAAUGGGCGGAAGCCUGAUCCAGCAAUACCGCGUGUAUGAAGAAGGCUCUAGGGUCGUAAAGUACUUUCAGAGGGGAGGAACGGUUGUAGUUUUAGUAAAGAAGUCCCGGCUAACUCCGUGCCAGUAGCCGCGGUAAUACGGAGGGGACUAGCAUUGUUCGGAAUAACCGGGCGUAAAGCGUACGGAGGCGGAUCAGAAAGUAUGGGGAGAAAACCCAGGGCUCAACCCUGGAACUGCCUCAUAAACUCCUGGUCUUGAGUUCGAGAGAGGUGAGUAGAAUUCCGAGUGUAGAGGUGAAAUUCGUAGAUAUUCGGAGGAACACCAGUGGCGAAGGCGGCUCACUGGCUCGAUACUGACGCUGAGGUACGAAAGUGUGGGGAGCAAACAGGAUUAGAUACCCUGGUAGUCCACACCGUAAACGAUGAAUGCCAGUCGUCGGGUAGCAUGCUAUUCGGUGACACACCUAACGGAUUCAGCAUUCCGCCUGGGGAGUACGGUCGCACGAUUAAAACUCAAAGGAAUUGCCGGGGGCCCGCAUAAGCGGUGGAGCAUAUGGUUUAAUUCGAAGCAACGCGUAGAACCUUACCAGCCCUUGACAUCCUAUGACAGUCGCUCCAGAGAUGGAGCUUUCAGCUAGGCUGGACGAGAUACAGGUGCUGCAUGGCUGUCGUCAGCUCGUGUCGUGAGAUGUUCGGUUAAGUCCCGCAACGAGCGCAACCCCUGCCUUUAGUUGCCAUCAUUAAGUUGGGCACUCUAGAGGGACUGCCGGUGAUAAAACCGGAGGAAGGUGGGGACGACGUCAAGUCAUCAUGGCCCUUAUGGGCUGGGCUACACACGUGCUACAAUGGCGGUGACAGAGGGUUGCCACUCCGCGAGGAGGCGCUAAUCCCUAAAAACCGUCUCAGUUCGGAUUGUUCUCUGCAACUCGAGAGCAUGAAGUUGGAAUCGCCAGUAAUCGUGGAUCAGCAUGCCACGGUGAAUACGUUCCCGGGCCUUGU
rnacentral:rRNA from 1 species